ACUACUAAUUGUUUUUCUAUUCAUUUUUCUCACGUGUUACUUUUUACUUUCAGCUUAGAGAUAAGACAAACAAAGGGUCAAGAACUCCAUUGAUAACAAAUAGGUAUUUAAAUUGUGCCGACUCUUUUGUGUACUUCUUUUCUUUUGUUUCGUAUGGUAAAGGUUUUUAUCUACGUACCACCUGACUCAGGUAGCUACCGAGUUGAAAGUAGAGGGGAUGGGAGCCCUUACAAACUUUGGGUAGGGUGCACGUUUCAUUCUAAAUAAGAUACUCGAACUGAACAGACGACUCUAGCGACUUUGUGCCUUUGCUGAGUGUUAGUGACAACAACUGAACGGCCAACUUUUGCGGUUAAGUGCUUUUAUUUUGAGUGUUAGUAAAAGUGAUUUUGUAACACGAUGGAGUCAACCAAUACCUCUGACAAUUCUGCGCUUUCUAUUGAUACGGACUCAUCUUCAGAUGAGGAAUGGGAGAAGAUGAUGGGGAUUCAACGAAGGGUGAAAACAAAGACUGGGGAAGUGAUUCACCUCCCGGAAGAGCUGCCUGGCAAGAAGCGGAACAGAAAGACGUUCAAGACGUACUACUGCAUUCGCUGUAUGGUGAAAACUGACAUCUACUGUCCCCAGUGCGAAACUAAGCCGAGUGUGUGUUUAGGGUGCUUUAGAUUCUUUCACAAUUAUUAAUUUUAGUUUAGCAUUUAGUUUUAUUUUGUAGCAUAUCUACUUUAAAAUAAUCUCCCCAAUUAAUAUUGAACUUCAGGUCAAUAACAAGAGGUUCAAAAUUAAUUGGAGGAUUUGCUCUUUUAGUUUGAGAUGCAUUAUUUUUGUGAGAUAUUUAAUUUAGUUUGUAGCUAAGGCUGAUUUUUAGUGUACAUUGUGUAAAAAUAAUUUGUUAAUUCUUUUGUGCAUAAUUUUAGUGUAAAUUGAAUAAAUCAAUUGACAUUUA